GACAGCAGUAGCCGCGGGAAUACGAAGGGUGCAAGCGUUAAUCGGAAUUACUGGGCGUAAAGCGUGCGUAGGUGGUGGUUUAAGUCCGUUGUGAAAGCCCUGGGCUCAACCUGGGAAUUGCAGUGGAUACUGGGUCACUAGAGUGUGGUAGAGGAUAGUGGAAUUUCCGGUGUAGCAGUGAAAUGCGUAGAGAUCGGAAGGAACAUCUGUGGCGAAGGCGACUAUCUGGGCCAACACUGACACUGAGGCACGUAAGCGUGGGGAGCAAACAGGAUUAGAUACCCCAGUAGUCCCUGUCUCUUAUAC
rnacentral:rRNA from 1 species